rnacentral:rRNA from 1 species
GGAUUGCCCUAGUAACGGCGAGUGAAGCGGCAACAGCUCAAAUUUGAAAUCUGGCGUCUUCGGCGUCCGAGUUGUAAUUUGCAGAGGGCGCUUUGGCAUUGGCAGCGGUCCAAGUUCCUUGGAACAGGACGUCACAGAGGGUGAGAAUCCCGUACGUGGUCGCUAGCCUUUACCGUGUAAAGCCCCUUCGACGAGUCGAGUUGUUUGGGAAUGCAGCUCUAAAUGGGAGGUAAAUUUCUUCUAAAGCUAAAUACUGGCCAGAGACCGAUAGCGCACAAGUAGAGUGAUCGAAAGAUGAAAAGCACUUUGGAAAGAGAGUUAAAAAGCACGUGAAAUUGUUGAAAGGGAAGCGCUUGCAGCCAGACUUGCCUGUAGUUGCUCAUCCGGGUUUCUACCCGGUGCACUCUUCUAUAGGCAGGCCAGCAUCAGUUUGGGCGGUUGGAUAAAGGUCUCUGUCAUGUACCUCUCUUCGGGGAGAACUUAUAGGGGAGACGACAUGCAACCAGCCUGGACUGAGGUCCGCGCAUCUGCUAGGAUGCUGGCGUAAUGGCUGUAAGCGGCCCGUCUUGAAACACGGACCAAGGAGUCUAACAUCUAUGCGAGUGUUUGGGUGUCAAGCCCGAGCGCGUAAUGAAAGUGAACGGAGGUGGGAACCUUUCGGGGUGCACCAUCGACCGAUCCUGAUGUCUUCGGAUGGAUUUGAGUAAGAGCAUAGCUGUUGGGACCCGAAAGAUGGUGAACUAUGCUUGAAUAGGGUGAAGCCAGAGGAAACUCUGGUGGAGGCUCGCAGCGGUUCUGACGUGCAAAUCGAUCGUCAAAUUUGGGCAUAGGGGCGAAAGACUAAUCGA